rnacentral:rRNA from 1 species
AGCAAACAGGAUUAGAUACCCUGGUAGUCCACGCCGUAAACGAUGAGUGCUAAGUGUUAGGGGGUUUCCGCCCCUUAGUGCUGCAGCUAACGCAUUAAGCACUCCGCCUGGGGAGUACGACCGCAAGGUUGAAACUCAAAGGAAUUGACGGGGGCCCGCACAAGCGGUGGAGCAUGUGGUUUAAUUCGAAGCAACGCGAAGAACCUUACCAGGUCUUGACAUCCUUUGACCACUCUGGAGACAGAGCUUUCCCUUCGGGGACAAAGUGACAGGUGGUGCAUGGUUGUCGUCAGCUCGUGUCGUGAGAUGUUGGGUUAAGUCCCGCAACGAGCGCAACCCUUGAUUUUAGUUGCCAGCAUUUAGUUGGGCACUCUAAAGUGACUGCCGGUGCAAGCCGGAGGAAGGUGGGGAUGACGUCAAAUCAUCAUGCCCCUUAUGACCUGGGCUACACACGUGCUACAAUGGAUAGUACAAAGGGUCGCGAAGCCGCGAGGUGGAGCUAAUCCCAUAAAACUAUUCUCAGUUCGGAUUGUAGGCUGCAACUCGCCUACAUGAAGCCGGAAUCGCUAGUAAUCGUGGAUCAGCAUGCCACGGUGAAUACGUUCCCGGGCCUUGUACACACCGCCCGUCACACCACGAGAGUUUGUAACACCCGAAGUCGGUAGGGUAACCUUUAUGGAGCCAGCCGCCGAAGGUGGGACAGAUAAUUGGGGUGAAGUCGUAACAAGGUAGCCGUAUCGGAAGGUGCGGCUGGAUCACCUCCUUUCUAAGGAA